rnacentral:rRNA from 1 species
UACGUAGGGUGCAAGCGUUAAUCGGAAUUACUGGGCGUAAAGCGUGCGCAGGUGGUCAUGUAAGACAGAUGUGAAAUCCCCGGGCUUAACCUGGGAAUUGCAUUUGAGACUGCAUGGCUAGAGUGUGGCAGAGGGGGAUGGAAUUCCGCGUGUAGCAGUGAAAUGCGUAGAUAUGCGGAGGAACACCGAUGGCGAAGGCAAUCCCCUGGGCCUGUACUGACGCUCAUGCACGAAAGCGUGGGGAGCAAACAGG